CGAUUCCGACUUAAAUUUUUCAAGUUGCGGCCAUUUUAAAAAACAACAAAAUUCUGAAUAUGCAAUAUACCAUAGUCUCAAUACCUUUCCACUGGGAGGUCUCAUUGAUUCACCCUCAAGUCUCCUCUUCUCAGCUCUUCCUCCUCCUCUUGCGGCUCUGAACAGAGCCCUGUUCCUUUCCUCAGCCCUUGCUCUAAUGCAGGAUAAAACUGCUGAGUCAUUGAUGGCUGGUGUCAUGGCAACAGUUGGUCUCCUAACAGUGGCCGAGGCCUCGAGGAUACGAUAGAGGAUAAUGUGAAGGGGGUAGUCCCUCCGGAGCUACCCGACUGCCUCAUUGUUGAUGACCAGAGAGGGUGGGGUAUAACAGUGUCAGGCCCAGCUUCUUUUGGAAUAAUUCUUCUUCCUAUAUUUAGCGAGGGAUCGUUUGGUCUAGGAGGAGGCGGUGGAAAUGAUCUCAAUUCUAACUAAUGGAGGGAGAGAAAGAGGGAGGGAGAGAGGUUACAAUGAAAUAGAAAGCAACAAGAUUCUGCAAUUAGAUAGGCAAGGCCAGACCGGCAGACCCUUGCCUCCCUGGCCAGCGAGACUAGCUUGGUAUAUGUAAAAUGGCGUCAGGUUUGCUAAACUUUCAAUGCUUUUUAUUCUUACAGGAAGAGAAAGAAAGAAUCUAUCAAGAAUGGAUCACGUGAUAUUAGUCCUCUCUGGUAAAGGAGGAGUUGGUAAGAGUACAGUAACACGUCAAAUAGCACUGGGACUGGUUGAAGAAGGAAAGAAAGUUGGUAUAUUGGAUAUUGAUUUAUGUGGUCCUAGUAUACCUCACAUGUUUUCAUUAACUGGUAGAGAUGUACAUCAAGGGACUGAUGGGUAAGCCCCUAUCAUUAAUUAUUAAUUAU